UACAGAGGGUGCAAGCGUUAAUCGGAAUUAUUGGGCGUAAAGCGCAUGUAGGUGGUUUAAUAAGUUUGAUGUGAAAGCCCUGGGCUUAACCUGGGAAUGGCGUUGAAGACUGUUAAACUAGAGUCGGACAGAGGGCGGUGGAAUUUCCGGUGUAGCGGUGAAAUGCGUAGAGAUCGGAAAGAACACCCGUGGCGAAGGCGGCCGCCUGGGUCCAGACUGACACUGAGGUGCGAAAGCGUGGGGAGCAAACAGG
rnacentral:rRNA from 1 species